CAGCUUUUUUCAGAUGGCCACUGCUGCAAUCAGUUCUGACCAUGCUUACUGGGUGUGAGGAUGGAAGGAGACCAUCUGUCUCCUGAAGGCCUCUCAGAUUCAGAGCUGGGAGCUAGGCCUCCUUUGGAUGUCUGCUCUACAUAAGGAUCCUUCAGUUGGGGUGGGAGGGCCAGGUGCACAUUUUCCUUUGUUUCACAAAAUGAUUAACAUUAUGGCCUCCAGCAAAUCAAGUACCUUCUAUGAGGCUUGUUUUACAUCUUUACAGUGAAGCAGUGAGAUCAAGGACAGCUGAAAUAGUUUAUAUCCCUACAGUCCCAUUGUGCUGUCACUUUAGGCCACUGUGAGGUGGCUCUCUCUGGCAGCCUCGUAGCUACCACUUCUUGCCCAUGACACACCUAUUGGUGCCCAUAGGUCAAUCCCAGAGCCACAGAUUUCUUCACUUCUGUAGGCUGCCUGGGUUUUCAUCUGCUGCCUUCAGUGGAUCACAAAGCAAUGGCCAAGGAUGAGAGUUUGCAUGUCUCACAUAAGACCAAAGGUCACGGCUUGGUUGUCAUCCUGGGUGGUCUAACACGACAUCCUUGCUUAGGCGUCCUGGUUUAGCUCGGAUUUCCAGCCAAGUGAUUCUUGAAUCCUUUCAUGCGGCAAAGUGUAACAGUGACACCAUGACACCUUUUCUAAUUGUGUUUUAAUUGAAAAGACUUGAUUUGAUUAUAGAAGCCUGCACUGUAGUUGAAAGGCUUGUUAAAACAUGUAUUAAGUCGGAAAGAUUGCAAUGUUUGGCUGUGUAAUUAUGUAAACAGUUGCAUAAAUGGAGCUGCUUACAGUCAGCGGGAAUGCUUUUUCAGUAGCUGGUGGCAAACUGGCAUCGCUGAUCAGUGACAGGUGUGCGUCACAAUUUCCCAUCCUUGUGAAGGAAAAUGAAAUGGACCGCACGGCUAAAAUGUUUAGAUUUCUCAGCAACAGAAGUGAUCCAGGAAUUUUAAAAAAAUCUUCAACUAUAGUUUUAAAAUAGGCAUAAAACUACCUUAAAAUUCCCUGUGGUUUUUAAUGAAAGUGUCCAUUAAAUUUACUGAGGAUAAAAGAGUAAUUUACUUCAAAACCCACUAUCUGUGCCUUCCCACUGGACUGACGAUGCACACCUAUCUUUUUUGAACUUUAAAAAUAAAUGAAUCGUUGAUCAGA